AUUGAACGCUGGCGGCAGGCCUAACACAUGCAAGUCGAACGAGUGGCGGACGGGUGAGGUAUGUCUGGGAAACUGCCUGAUGGAGGGGGUUAACCUCUGGAAACGGUAGCUAUUACCGCAUACCAUCAGAUGUUCCCAGCUGGGAUUAGCUUGUUGGUGGGGUAACGGUUGACCACGGCGACGAUCCCUAGCUGGCCUGAGAGGAUGACCAGCCACACUGGAACUGUGACACGGUACAGACGCCUACGGGAGGCAGCAGUGGGGAAUAUUGCACAAUGGGCGCAAGCCUGGUGCGGCCGUGCCGCGUGUAUGAAGAAGGCCUUCGAGUUGUAAAGUACUUUCAGCGGGGAGGCGUUACCCGCAGAAGAAGCACCGGCUAACUCCGUGCCAGCAGCCGCGGUAAUAC
rnacentral:rRNA from 1 species